rnacentral:misc_RNA from 1 species
AAGUCGUAACAAGGUUUCCGUAGGUGAACCUGCGGAAGGAUCAUUAACACGUAUCCAACACGUUCAUUUCAAACCAAACCUAUCGCGCUCCUAUUAGUUCCCUUCAUCUGACACUGGGUAUAUGCAAGCCACAAGGUAGACUUUAGCUGGGUGUGUCAUGCUAGUAAAAUAGUAUGCAUACUCCACUAACUGCUUGCAGUACUACUUGCCAAACAGUGUUGAUAAGGUGUAAUCUCUCAAGCUACCUUGGUUAUCAGUGCCAAACCGGUUCCGACCCGGAGCCUGGUAACCUUAUUAAACUCCAACCCAUUUUUUAAACCCCUUUCAUUUACAUAAUGAACUGAUCUAAUAUACCUUUUGCCUAUCGGUAAAGGGAUAUAUGUAUACGAAAUGCGAACAACUCUUAGCAACGGAUAUCUUGGUUCUC